UACAGAGGUCCCGAGCGUCGUUCGGAUUCAUUGGGCGUAAAGGGUGCGUAGGCGGUCUUCUAAGUUUGAUGUGAAAUCCCGGGGCUCAACCCUGGAAUGGCAUUGAAUACUGGAGGACUAGAGUACCGGAGAGGAAACUGGAAUUUACGGUGUAGCAGUGAAAUGCGUAGAGAUCGUAAGGAAGACCAGUGGCGAAGGCGAGUUUCUGGACGGUAACUGACGCUGAGACACGAAAGCGUGGGUAGCAAACAGG
rnacentral:rRNA from 1 species